rnacentral:tRNA from 1 species
CGCGGGGUGGAGCAGUAGUAGCUCGCGUGGCUCAUAACCACGAGGUCGCAGGUGCAAUUCCUGCCCCCGCUACCA